rnacentral:rRNA from 1 species
AAACAACUACGAGUUACACUUAAAACUUAAAAGACUUGACGGUACUUCACUACACCCUAGAGGAGCCUGUCCAAUAACCGACAACCCACGAUUAACCCAACCCUCCCUUGCCUACAGUCUAUAUACCGCCGUCGCAAGCCUACCUCAUAAGAGGGAUAAAGUAGGCCAAGUAGUACUCACUAAAACGACAGGUCGAGGUGUAGCUCAUGAGAGGGACCAAGAUGGGCUACACUCUCACAUCGAGAAUACGGAAAAAACCCCGAAAUUAGUCUUUAAAGGUGGAUUUAGCAGUAAGAUAGGAAUAAAACACCUAACUGAACAUAACGCAAUGAAGUGCGU